AAGAUUAAGCCAUGCAUGUCUAAGUAUAAGCAAUUUAUACAGUGAAACUGCGAAUGGCUCAUUAAAUCAGUUAUAGUUUAUUUGAUAAUACCUUACUACUUGGAUAACCGUAGUAAUUCUAGAGCUAAUACAUGCUAAAAACCCGACUCUCGGAAGGGUUGUAUUUAUUAGAUAAAAACCAAUGCGGUCUCGGCCGGUUAUUUGGUGAUUCAUAAUAACUUUGCGAAUCGUAU
rnacentral:rRNA from 1 species